rnacentral:tRNA from 1 species
GCUGGGUGCUCGGCGAGUUGCACAUGUUGGCGCGUUUGGUGGACGAGCGGCUGGAGAACUACGACACCGCGGGUGCCGGCCGGCUGCUCGGCG